rnacentral:rRNA from 1 species
AGACCCGAAACCCGGUGAUCUAGCCAUGGGCAGGUUGAAGGUUGGGUAACACUAACUGGAGGACCGAACCGACUAAUGUUGAAAAAUUAGCGGAUGACCUGUGGCUGGGGGUGAAAGGCCAAUCAAACCGGGAGAUAGCUGGUUCUCCCCGAAAGCUAUUUAGGUAGCGCCUCGUGAAUUCAUCUCCGGGGGUAGAGCACUGUUUCGGCUAGGGGGCCAUCCCGGCUUACCAACCCGAUGCAAACUGCGAAUACCGGAGAAUGUUAUCACGGGAGACACACGGCGGGUGCUAACGUCCGUCGUGAAGAGGGAAACAACCCAGACCGCCAGCUAAGGUCCCAAAGUCAUGGUUAAGUGGGAAACGAUGUGGGAAGGCCCAGACAGCCAGGAUGUUGGCUUAGAAGCAGCCAUCAUUUAAAGAAAGCGUAAUAGCUCACUGGUCGAGUCGGCCUGCGCGGAAGAUGUAACGGGGCUAAACCAUGCACCGAAGCUGCGGCAGCGAACGUAUCACCCAAGACAACUUUACGGAGUUGACGAUUGACGGAGCGAAGCGACGUCAAAGCGUUCAUUAAAGUCGAGUUGGCUUAGGGAUACGUUCGUUGGGUAGGGGAGCGUUCUGUAAGCCUGUGAAGGUGUGUCGUGAGGCAUGCUGGAGGUAUCAGAAGUGCGAAUGCUGACAUAAGUAACGAUAAAGCGGGUGAAAAGCCCGCUCGCCGGAAGACCAAGGGUUCCUGUCCAACGUUAAUCGGGGCAGGGUGAGUCGACCCCUAAGGCGAGGCCGAAAGGCGUAGUCGAUGGGAAACGGGUUAAUAUUCCCGUACUUGGUGUUACUGCGAAGGGGGGACGGAGAAGGCUAUGUUGGCCGGGCGACGGUUGUCCCGGUUUAAGCGUGUAGGUGUGUGUUCCAGGUAAAUCCGGUUCACUUUAACACUGAGGCGUGACGACGAGGCACUACGGUGCUGAAGCAACAAAUGCCCUGCUUCCAGGAAAAGCCUCUAAGCAUCAGGUAACAUCAAAUCGUACCCCAAACCGACACAGGUGGU